rnacentral:rRNA from 1 species
GGUUUAAUAAGUCUGAAGUUAAAGGCAGUGGCUUAACCAUUGUUCGCUUUGGAAACUGUUAAACUUGAGUGCAGAAGGGGAGAGUGGAAUUCCAUGUGUAGCGGUGAAAUGCGUAGAUAUAUGGAGGAACACCGGUGGCGAAAGCGGCUCUCUGGUCUGUAACUGACGCUGAGGCUCGAAAGCGUGGGGAGCAAACAGGAUUAGAUACCCUGGUAGUCCACGCCGUAAACGAUGAGUGCUAGGUGUUAGGCCCUUUCCGGGGCUUAGUGCCGCAGCUAACGCAUUAAGCACUCCGCCUGGGGAGUACGACCGCAAGGUUGAAACUCAAAGGAAUUGACGGGGGCCCGCACAAGCGGUGGAGCAUGUGGUUUAAUUCGAAGCUACGCGAAGAACCUUACCAGGUCUUGACAUCUUGCGCCAACCCUAGAGAUAGGGCGUUUCCUUCGGGAACGCAAUGACAGGUGGUGCAUGGUCGUCGUCAGCUCGUGUCGUGAGAUGUUGGGUUAAGUCCCGCAACGAGCGCAACCCUUAUUGUUAGUUGAUACAUUUAGUUGAUCACUCUAGCGAGACUGCCGUUGACAAAACGGAGGAAGGUGGGGACGACGUCAAAUCAUCAUGCCCCUUAUGACCAGGGCUACACACGUACUACAAUGGCAGUCAUACAGAGGGAAGCAAAGCUGUGAAGCAGAGCAAAUCCCUAAAAGCUGUCCCAGUUCAGAUUGCAGGCUGCAACUCGCCUGCAUGAAGUCGGAAUUGCUAGUAAUCGCGGAUCAGCAUGCCGCGGUGAUACGUUCCCGGGCCUUGCACUCACCGCCCGU